GAUGAACGCUGGCGGUAUGCUUAACACAUGCAAGCCGAACGGACUCUUCGGAGUUAGUGGCGGACGGGUGAGUAACGCGUGAGAAUCUGGCUUUGGGUUUGGGACAACCACUGGAAACGGUUGCUAAUACCGGAUGUGCCGAGAGGUAAAAGAGGAAUUGCCUGAAGAUGAGCUCGCGUCUGAUUAGCUAGUUGGUGAGGUAAAGGCUCACCAAGGCAGCGUUAAGUGUCUGGUCUGAGAGGAUGACCGGCCACACUGGGAAUGGGACACAGCCCAGACUCCUCCGGGGGGGAGGGGGGGGGAAUUUUCCGGAAAGGGCGAAAGCCUGACGGAGGAAUUCCGCGUGGAGGAAGAAGGCUCUUGGGUUGUAAACCUCUUUUCUUAAGGAAGAACAAAAAUGACGGUACCUAAGGAAUCAGCAUCGGCUAACUCCGU
rnacentral:rRNA from 1 species